UACGGGAGGCAGCAGUGGGGAAUAUUGCACAAUGGGCGCAAGCCUGAUGCAGCCAUGCCGCGUGUAUGAAAAAGGCCUUCGGGUUGUAAAGUACUUUCAGUCGUGAGGAAGGUGUUAAGGUUAAUAACCUUAGCAAUUGACGUUAGCGACAGAAGAAGCACCGGCUAACUCCGUGCCAGCAGCCGCGGUAAUACGGAGGGUGCGAGCGUUAAUCGGAAUUACUGGGCGUAAAGGGCACGCAGGCGGUUAAUUAAGUUGGAUGUGAAAUCCCCGGGCUUAACCUGGGAAUGGCAUUCAAGACUGGUUAGCUAGAGUCUUGUAGAGGGGGUAGAAUUCCAUGUGUAGCGGUGAAAUGCGUAGAGAUGUGGAGGAAUACCGGUGGCGAAGGCGGCCCCCUGGACAAAGACUGACGCUCAUGUGCGAAAGCGUGGGGAGCAAACAGGGAUUAGAUACC
rnacentral:rRNA from 1 species